GGCCAUGUGGCCUAAUUGAUAAGGCGUCAGACUCUGGAUCACAAGAUUGUAGGUUCGAGUCCUACCAUGGCCG